CAGCAUUUCCCAACAUCUCUCUCAACAGGAUAGCAUCAAACUCAGAGAUCUGCCUGCCUCUGCCUUCUAAGUGCUGGGAUUAAAGGCUUGUGCCACUACCACCUGACAUAUAUUCUUAAUUGUGCAUAAGAGUUUCUGAAAAGCAUCCACCUAGUCUAGGAUGGAGAUCACCACAGAUUCCCAUAGACAAAGAUGGAGACACCACAGAUCCCCAUAGACAAGGAUGGAGACACCAUAGUUCCUGCAGACAAGGAUGGAGACACCAUAGAUCCCCAAAGACAAGGAUGGAGACACCAUAGACCCCUGCAGACAAGGAUGGAGACACCAUAGAUCCCCAUAGACAAGGAUGGAGACACCACAGAUCCCUGCACACAAGGAGCAAAUAUGAGGUUACCAAGAAGAGCUGCAGCUACAUCCUGGUAGCUGUGAAAUCUCCAGGAGGCAGCAAAGAACCAAGACAGGAAACUGGCCCAGCCAUGACCAAGCUGCCUAGUGAUAACCUGGAGGUCCCCUGGGGUCUGAGACUCACAGCAGCAGUCAGGGACUUCCUGACCUGCUGCUUCAAGUUCCUGUGGCCUUGACCUCCCAGUCAUGACGGACUGUACCUUGAACUGCGAGCUAACAUGAACUCUUAAGUUGCUUUCAUCAGUUUUGUUUUUUUGUUUUGUUUUUUUUUUUUAAU
rnacentral:lncRNA from 1 species